rnacentral:rRNA from 1 species
AGAGUUUGAUCCUGGCUCAGGACGAACGCUGGCGGCGUGCCUAAUACAUGCAAGUCGAACGAAGCUUUCUUUCACCGAAUGCUUGCAUUCACCGAAAGAAGCUUAGUGGCGAACGGGUGAGUAACACGUAGGCAACCUGCCCAAAAGAGGGGGAUAACACUUGGAAACAGGUGCUAAUACCGCAUAACCAUGAACACCGCAUGAUGUUCAUGUAAAAGACGGCUUUUACUGUCACUUUUGGAUGGGCCUGCGGCGUAUUAACUUGUUGGUGGGGUAACGGCCUACCAAGGUGAUGAUACGUAGCCGAACUGAGAGGUUGAUCGGCCACAUUGGGACUGAGACACGGCCCAAACUCCUACGGGAGGCAGCAGUAGGGAAUCUUCCACAAUGGACGAAAGUCUGAUGGAGCAACGCCGCGUGAAUGAAGAAGGCCUUCGGGUCGUAAAAUCCUGUUGUCAGAGAAGAACGUGCGUGAGAGUAACUGUUCACGUAUUGACGGUAUCUGACCAGAAAGCCACGGCUAACUACGUGCCAGCAGCCGCGGUAAUACGUAGGUGGCGAGCGUUGUCCGGAUUUAUUGGGCGUAAAGGGAACGCAGGCGGUCUUUUAAGUCUGAUGUGAAAGCCUUCGGCUUAACCGAAGUAGUGCAUUGGAAACUGGAAGACUUGAGUGCAGAAGAGGAGAGUGGAACUCCAUGUGUAGCGGUGAAAUGCGUAGAUAUAUGGAAGAACACCAGUGGCGAAAGCGGCUCUCUGGUCUGUAACUGACGCUGAGGUCCGAAAGCGUGGGUAGCAAACAGGAUUAGAUACCCUGGUAGUCCACGCCGUAAACGAUGAGUGCUAAGUGUCGGAGGGUUUCCGCCCUUCAGUGCUGCAGCUAACGCAUUAAGCACUCCGCCUGGGGAGUACGGUCGCAAGACUGAAACUCAAAGGAAUUGACGGGGGCCCGCACAAGCGGUGGAGCAUGUGGUUUAAUUCGAAGCAACGCGAAGAACCUUACCAGGUCUUGACAUCUACUGACAACUCCAGAGAUGGAACGUUCCCUUCGGGGACAGAAUGACAGGUGGUGCAUGGUUGUCGUCAGCUCGUGUCGUGAGAUGUUGGGUUAAGUCCCGCAACGAGCGCAACCCUUAUUGUCAGUUGCCAUCAUUAAGUUGGGCACUCUGGCGAGACUGCCGGUGACAAACCGGAGGAAGGUGGGGAUGACGUCAAAUCAUCAUGCCCCUUAUGACCUGGGCUACACACGUGCUACAAUGGACGGUACAACGAGUCGCUAACUCGCGAGGGCAAGCUAAUCUCUUAAAGCCGUUCUCAGUUCGGAUUGCAGGCUGCAACUCGCCUGCAUGAAGUCGGAAUCGCUAGUAAUCGCGAAUCAGCAUGUCGCGGUGAAUACGUUCCCGGGCCUUGUACACACCGCCCGUCACACCAUGAGAGUUUGUAACACCCAAAGUCGGUGGGGUAACCUUUUGGAGCCAGCCGCCUAAGGUGGGACAGAUGAUUGGGGUGAAGUCGUAACAAGGUAGCCGUAGGAGAACCUGCGGCUG